rnacentral:rRNA from 1 species
CAUCACUACGCUAGAUGCAUAUCAAUAAGCGGAGGAAAAGAAACUAACUAAGGAUUCCCUCAGUAACGGCGAGUGAAGCGGGAAGAGCUCAAAUUUGAAAUCUUCAAGGGUUUACCUUUACGAAUUGUAGUUUAAAGAAGUGUUUUCUGUUGGAGUUUCGGUAAAAGUUCUUUGGAAUAGGACAUCAUAGAGGGUGAGAAUCCCGUAUUUGACCGUUACUUUCCAGCUGUGUGAUACACUUUCAAAGAGUCGGAUUGUUUGGGAAUGCAGUCCAAGAUGGGUGGUAAAUUUCAUCUAAAGCUAAAUACUGGCGAGAGACCGAUAGCGAACAAGUACCGUGAGGGAAAGAUGAAAAGAACUUUGAAAAGAGAGUUAAACAGUACGUGAAAUUGUCAAAAGGGAAGCGUUUGACACCAGUGUUGUUUUCUCGAAAAUCAAUUAAAAAUGGUGGGAUUUUGUGUUGUAUUGACUUUAUCAGCUUUCUGCACUUUUUUCCUAUCUUUUUUAAUGCACUUUUCGUUUAACAAGUCAACAUCAAUUUCUUUUGUUGUAAAAGAGUCAUUGGAUGGUGGCUUUCUUUUCGGAGAAAGUGUUUAUAGCCUUUGGCUUCUGCAAUCGGAGAGAUUGAGGUCUGCAGCGUAGAUCCUUCGGGGUUAGAUACAUUUGUGCUAAGUUAUAGCCUUUCAUAGACAACUUGUUGACUAUGAUCAGUCAUGUAGCUUACUCGCUUAUGCUAUUUUACCUACGCUUAGGAUGUUGACACACGCGCGUGCUCG